GCUUAGUACGUGAGGAACCGCGGUUUCAGAUAAUUGGUUUUUGCGGCUGUCUGACCAGGCAUUGCCGCGAAGCUACCAUCUGCUGGAUUAUGGCUGAACGCCUCUAAGUCAGAAUCCAUGCCAGAACGGGGUGAUUUCCGCCUGCACCAGUCGGAUACGAAUAGGCCUUUGGCCCAGAACCUUACCAGGCCGGCGUUGGCAGUCUCAUUGAAGUUGAGGCUGUUCGCCGGCGUAUUGCAAUUGUACAGUGCGCAGGAUUGAAUCCUUUGCAGACGACUUAGUUGUCUAGCCGGGUCGUGUAAGUAGU
rnacentral:rRNA from 13 species